rnacentral:rRNA from 1 species
UUUCAAUUUGCCGACCUCAGAGACAGGUAG